GCAGACGAACGCUGGCGGCGUGCUUAACACAUGCAAGUCGAACGAUGAAGGAGGAGCUUGCUCUUCUGGAUUAGUGGCGAACGGGUGAGUAACACGUGAGCAAUCUGCCCUUGACUCUGGGAUAAGCGUUGGAAACGACGUCUAAUACCGGAUACGACCCUCGGAGGCAUCUCCUGGGGGUGGAAAGAAUUUUGGUCAAGGAUGAGCUCGCGGCCUAUCAGCUUGUUGGUGAGGUAAUGGCUCACCAAGGCGACGACGGGUAGCCGGCCUGAGAGGGUGACCGGCCACACUGGGACUGAGACACGGCCCAGACUCCUACGGGAGGCAGCAGUGGGGAAUAUUGCACAAUGGGCGAAAGCCUGAUGCAGCAACGCCGCGUGAGGGACGACGGCCUUCGGGUUGUAAACCUCUUUUAGUAGGGAAGAAGCGAAAGUGACGGUACCUGCAGAAAAAGCACCGGCUAACUACGUGCCAGCAGCCGCGGUAAUACGUAGGGUGCAAGCGUUGUCCGGAAUUAUUGGGCGUAAAGAGCUCGUAGGCGGUUUGUCGCGUCUGCUGUGAAAACCCGAGGCUCAACCUCGGGCCUGCAGUGGGUACGGGCAGACUAGAGUGCGGUAGGGGAGAUUGGAAUUCCUGGUGUAGCGGUGGAAUGCGCAGAUAUCAGGAGGAACACCGAUGGCGAAGGCAGAUCUCUGGGCCGUAACUGACGCUGAGGAGCGAAAGCAUGGGGAGCGAACAGGAUUAGAUACCCUGGUAGUCCAUGCCGUAAACGUUGGGAACUAGAUGUGGGGACCAUUCCACGGUCUCCGUGUCGCAGCUAACGCAUUAAGUCCCCGCCUGGAG
rnacentral:rRNA from 1 species